CUGCCUGACCUUUUCCAUCGGAGGAGCAGCUGGAACGCAAGACAGUGGCUGGGGUCAGAGUAGACAGGAAUGCUGUACUGAUUGCUUGGCUAUGGGGAUAGAAUAGGUAAAUCUAGGUAUUCCCACUGACCUGUACAUUAAGCACAGCCGAUUCCAACGUGGAACACCGGAGAGUCCCAGGAGGCGGGGUCCGGGUGACAUCGGGGGCAGGGCCGACGGCAUCAAGGCUGAGCGCGGGCAGCUGCGGGGCUUCAGAGGCAGGCCCCGGGCCCGACACAGGUGUGUGGGGCGGGGCCGAGGUGAUUUAAUCCCCGAAAAUUGCCUGUAGAUCAUUUGUUUACUAUGAGUGCGGUGAGAGUAGGAGGAGCUCCCGGUCCAGGCUUCCCCGCCCCGCAGCUGCCCGCGCUCAGCCUUGAUGCCGUCGGCCCUGCCCCCGAUGUCACCCGGACCCCGCCUCCUGGGACUCUCCGGUGUUCCACGUUGGAAUCGGCUGUGCUUAAUGUACAGCCACUGUCUUGCGUUCCAGCUGCUCCUCCGAUGGAAAAGGUCAGGCAGGAAUGUCAGGAAGCAUAUUUAAUAGAGAAGGAAUUGAUCUGCAUUCAAGUGCUGCCCUAAUGUUCCUCAGGACUGGGACCGGAACUGCUGAACGCUACUGGCAGUGAGGCUUCUUCCCAGCCGGGUGAUCCUGUAUCCCAGGCUCCGCAGUGUGGCUGGACGCAGGCCUGACACGCAGGUAAGGCUAGGGCUCAAAAACUGUUGGCGGUGAGGCAGAAGUUUCUUUUGGCAAGUGGUGUCAUCUUGCUUGGAUGCUGGGGAGCGGGGCUGGGGCAGAGCUGCGGGUCAGUGGAACCAGCCCUGCUCCAGCAGUGCUGUCAUCCUGUCACUGCACUGGGGCAAGCACAAAUCUGUCACCUUUAAUCUGCUAGAAAUCAGAUGCAACUCAGACAUUAUAGAUUAGGCAUGCAACAUGUCAUAGGUAAAAUGGAUUAGACAGCAGUGUAUAUUAAAUAAAUCCUUGUACGUAAAAAAGAAACCACAGAAACAAUUACUAAGGAACAAGUCUGCAGUCUCAGGUCUAGAGCUGGUGGGGUUUGUCUUAUACAGCAGCAGCCAAGUUCACAUGUGCAGUAGGAAGAAGUAAAAUCCUGUUAGCGUUUACGCUCAAACCGGGUCUGCCUUCCCAGUGGUGCAGAAAGUGCCUUCAGAGUCGGUGCUGUUAGAAAUUAGCAACCCCGGUGUUAAUUAGGUUCAUCAGCAAGUGCACACAAACAGGAGCUGGAACAGAGCUGUGUUCCAGAGUACCAGAUUUCAUUCGGAAUGCAUCCAUUGCAAAAACAGGAAUGCGGAAAGGAUGGAAAAUCAAUCGCUGUACAGAGAGAAUGCCAGGGUUCAGCAUGUUCUCCUAAAAGGCUAAAUGCCAGCCUCAGCCCAGAUGCUUUGUAGCACAUGUACAGCUUGGCAGUAAUGAGGCAGCUUCAGUAGAACGGACAUCUGGACAUGCUGCAUCAGGGCUGUGCUGUGCCUUGGACACUCUUCUAGUACUUACACAAAAAUGCAACAUCCAGCUCUCACUUCUGGAUACAGAACAACAGUGAUGUGCUUAAUGAAGAGCUGCUUUCGAGAGACAGCCUGUGGAGAGAAAGCUUCACACAGAGCUUUCUCCUCCUCUCCUAAUAGUUUAGGAACACAAGGCUCAAUGUGCUUUGAAAAAAAAAAAAAGUCUGGUAUGAAAUUAAGAAAAAUGCUCAUUUUUCCAAGUAUAUGAUAUUUAAUUGUAAUGAAAUAAAAUCUGAAAAUGUCUAAAUCAAUUAAGAAGUAAACAUGAGUUGUAAUACUAUA